rnacentral:rRNA from 1 species
CUGAACGCGGCCCGAUCUCGUCUGAUCUCGGAAGCUAAGCAG